ensembl:lncRNA
CCCAGAGCCAUCUCUGAACAUGGAAGCCAGACAGAAACAGCUCCCACUUGACAAGUCCAGGAGAGAAUUUAGGAAAGCAGUUCUUAGUACAGCGGGACAUAGACUUGGAUGCACAGCAGCAGAAGACCCACUGAGAUCAGCCACGGACUAAGGAUCUCACUACGUAGUCCAGCCUGGCCUUGAACUCAUGAUGAUCUUCCUACCUCAGCCUCCCGAGACCUGGGAUUACAUGUGUGUAUCACCACUACCAGCAUCAACCUAUGAAUAUUAAACAAAGUACUUGACUCCUGAGCUUCCACUUUGAUGAUAGUGAUUGGUUGGGAGAUGGGCAUGUGACACAAAACAGGCCAAUCAAAGCCCCUAAAACUCAGUUCUGGUUCUUUUACUGGUGCAAUUAGAAAAGUGGCUCUUUCUUCUGUAGUCGCUCCUUAGGACCCUGGAAGCAUGUAGUUGCCAGGAACUACCGGCAGAGCCUAUGAACAGAACCAACUCUGAAGAAGUUGGGCUGAUGACGGGAUUCUAGCAUUUAAUUCCUAGUUUAAUUCUUGAAUCAACCUAUGCCUGGCAUAUAGGUGUGGGCUUUUCAGUUUACCUUCCUCAACCAAUUCCCAUUUUUGCUUAAAUCAGUCUGGGCUGAAUUUCCCGACCCCUGACUCAGACACAGGCAAAGCCUGUAAAAACUUCCAUUCUUGCUGGGGAUUUAGCUCAGUGGUUUCACCGCCUGCUGCUCAAGCGCAAGGACCCGAGUUCGAUCCCGGUACCAAAAAACAAACAAAUUUCCAUUCUUGAAGGUUAUUUGUUGUUGUUGUUUUUACCCUCAUAUUCACGUUUAUGUUUUGGUGGUACUGGGGAUUGAACCCAAGGCCUUUGCAGUUAGCUACAUCCCCAAACCCCUGGCUUCUUCUUUUGAGAAAGUGUUCCACAAAGUUGCCCAGACUGGGCUCAAGCCCAGCACCCCCCUGACUCAACCCCCCAGAGUGCUGGGACUACAGGCAUGCACCACCGCACCCAGCUGCACAUUUCUUACUUAGAUCCCCUUAGGUGGAGGCAUAUAUCUUUCCAUUUAUUCUAGAAUCUCUUCCUCUCUUCUGUUGUGGGCUAUGCCUCCAUCAUCUGUACAUGUGGUGGCAUGACUGACCCUUGUAGGCCUCUGUGAUUGGAGCCCCUGCUUUGUAUUCAAGUACCAGCACAGCAAGAGGAGAGGGAAAGUCGGAGACCAGAACAAGUAUUUAUUGAUUUCCUCAGAAAGGAGAGCUGAGCACAACCUGGUCGAUCACCUCAGAGACUCAGCAUUAUGAAUUGCUCCUGCAGAGUCAUUUUUAUACAAGACGAGGUAGCCCUGUACCUGGGCGGGACUAAUCUGGGUUGUAGCUUGAAGGACAUGUUCUGCAAAGGUCUCAGCCAAGGAAGGUGCUUGUCCCGGGUAGAACCUCUGGUAGAUUGGGGUUGUACGGGGCUGGUGAAGAAACUGGCAUGAGGAACUGCCAGAAAAGGCCUGGAGAUAGUUUAGAGACCCCAAGCUACUGAUCUUGGGAGUACUUUUUACUUAAUUUCAUUAUGUAUUUCAUGAUUCGAAAGUCAAAACUAAAUAGAAGCUAGGUGCAGUAGGGCAUCCUAGCUACUCAGGAUGCUGAAGCAGGAGGAUCUCAAGUUUGAGACCAGCCUGGGCAACUUGGCAAGAACCUGUCUCAAGCUAGACAUAGUGGCAUUUGCCUAUCAUCCCAGCAUUUAGGAAGCUGAGGCAGGAGGAUCACCGAAAGUUCCAGGCCAGCUACAUGGUAGGUUCAAGGCCAGCCUGAAGUGUAUAGUAAGGCCCUAUUUAAAAUGAAAAAACAAACAAACAAAAAUAAAUAAAAGGGCUAGGGAUGUAGCUCAGUGGUAGAGCCCUUGCCUAGCAGGCUCAAGGCCCUAGAUUCAAUCCCCAGCACAGAAAAAGAAAAUUAAACACAAAAGCAAAAAACUGAAUAGAAAAGUACACACAACCAAGGAUGGGAUCUGUUUGUUUAUUCUUCCAGGGGCUUUAUGCAAAAAUAAGCAGAUGUGAAUAUAUUUCUAUCUUUCCCUUUUGUUACACAAAAGGUAAGUAGGCUUUGCUUUGAUAUAUAUGCAUUUUAUAUCUUCAAAUGUGUUCAUUCAUAGAGUGCCCUUCCUUGAAAUUCUGUGAUUAUUCCUGGUUGCUUUCUGCAUAAUAUUUCCAGUGGCUCAGAACCUUAUUUAGCAUAUUUUACCACUUCUCUGCACUGUUACCCUGGAGACACCUUGGUUUAAUGCUGGAGAAUCCUCUUUCAUCAGCGUUAGAAAAUUCAAAUCAAGGGGCUAAAAUGUGAGUCUGGCUCAAAACUAGAAAAAAGAGAAACAAACAAAUCUAGGAAAUGUAAUCUAAAUGAUAUUCACAGAGACUGUUGUGGGUGUCAGGGAGAUAGCUAUGAAAAUAGAAGAGUUAAAAGGACUCUAAACUUUUAGACCAGAUAGAGAUUAAUAUUGACAGGUACCCAGAAUAACCCAGAAAGGUAUAAUACAUGAUUUUGAAUAGAUGUCAAAUUUAGUCUUCUUGGUUAGGCAAAAAUCUCUAAUCACAAGAUUCUGUUGACCUGCAUGCUUUUAACACACAAUAUCUUCCAAUCCUUUCAACACAGAGAGGUUUAAACAGGGCUUUGAUGAAGGUUGGCAGCCUCAGUACUCAGACCUGGGAACAUGGGGCAGUUUCACUUGAGGAAUGGGAAAGAGAACAUUUUCACACCAAGUCUACACAGUGGAUGUUCUUUUUUUUUUUCUUAAAAAAAUUACAUUCCAUCUUCAAUAAAAGAGAAAUGGCUAAAAAAUGAAUUUCAGGGAAACAAUCGGUUGAAAAUGAAAGGCAAUCAGAGAUACACCUAUCAUUUCACUGCAGGGAGACUUGAUAAUUCUCUCUCUCUCUCUCUCUCUCUCUCUCUCUCUCUCUCUCUCUCUCUCUCUCUCUCUCUUUUGUUUUUUAAGGCAGGGUCUCCCUUUGUAGUUCAGGCUGGCUCUGAACUCACUAUGUAGCCCAGGCUGGUCUCGAACUCUCAGCAAUCCUCCUACCUCAGCCUCCCAAGUGUUGGGAUUACAGGCGUGCGCCACCACACCCAGCUCAACCUAUUCUCUUAAUCCUCCGGCACGGGGAUGGACCAGGCCCAGUGCUGUGCAUGUACUGACGGCCAACUGAGCAAAACCUACCUGCAGGUGUCCCCUUAAUUCUUUGGGGUAUUGUGCAAGGGUUUCUUAACUGUUCGGUAGAGAAAAACUACUUGAGUUACCACUGAGUCUUAUUUUUCUGGUCAAUUUUUAUUUUUUUGUAUUAUAAAACUACAUAUUUAACCUGCCUGGUGAAGGUUCCUCUGGAUUGGGGAGAUUCUACAUGAGUUACAUAAACACAUUUGCAUUUUUAUGGUUUCCUACAGGCCUUCAUUGAAGUAAACAACCUAAGCAUUUUCUUCUUUUAUCGUCUAAGGAAUUAGUAUUUCUUGCUCACUUCUCCUUUUGAUCUUUGAAAUUCUAAUGGGGGAGUUCAAAGAGUCAUGAGUAAAACAUUUUUGAGUCUUUAAAUAAAUAUAUCUACCAUUGGUGUUUUGCCACGCUACAAAUCCCAAGGAAUAAAUGAAAACUCAAAGCAAACAUACUCAAAGAAAAUAAGCCCUCUAAAAAUACAGUACAGUUUCUGAAAAACACAGCCUUAAUAAUUAAAGAUUAAAGUUUCAUCUUUCUGAUGCUGAAAAUGUAAUAUUUUGUUUGUUGUACAGAUGAUGUUGUAAAUGCAUUUGUUUGUUGUAAAUACUAGGAUUUUAGGAAACAGUGAUUGGACAUACACAGUUUUUCAUUUAAAUAGAUGCUUUAUGCUAUUGCCAAAUUUCAAUAAUUUUAUUCUGUGUGCAAUAAAGCAAUCAAAGAACAUACAUUUUGGAGUUAAUGCUUUUAUUCUAGCAAAACACAUUUUCUGAGGGCUAAUUCAGCAUUAAACUUAUUCCAAUCAUAAAUCCGUAGACACAAAAUGUGAUUUAGCUAAUAGGUUUACACUUGUAAAAUAAAUGAAGAUUCAAUUAAAAGCCACUAGGUUAUGCCUAAGCAUCAGUUAAUUUUUGCCUCAGGGCAUACACUAUUUCUAUAUUAAGUAGUCUAAUAGAAGGCACUUUUACUUUCAAGGUUUUAUUUCUUUACUCACACACCAUGUGUGAAAAAUCCAUUCUUGGCACAACCCAUUAUUCAAUGGGACUUGAUUACUUACAUAUGCUUCUGACGGUUACAAAACCUGCAUUGUGUGGUAUGGAGUGGAUUAGGUUGUAGACUGCAAACAACAGGAAAAGAAGUUGGCUCACGACUUGAAUAGAUCGGCAUAUGUAACCGGAGAACAACAGAGAUUCUCCUUGUCUGUGGCUUUUUUAGAAUGUAGUAAACAUCGCUUCUCGGCCUUUUGGCUAAGAGCAAGUGUAGAAUGUAGUAAACAACUGUCAUUCAGGGAUGGGUCACCAACCAAAAAUGGUAACAAAACAAAAAAUCUUAAGGAAGCUAUGUAGAAGAGAAACUAGUAUAUUAGAUGCGUAACCCAAAGAGAAAAAUACAGAAGAUGAUGAAAUCCGCAAGAACAUUUGGAAAACAGGGCCAGGGAUUUAGCUCAGUGGUUUUGCCUCCUGCUGCGCAAGCGCAAGAACAUUUGGAAAUCAAGAAAUCCGACUUUAGCAGGGGCAGUGGCACAUGCCUGCAAUCCCAGCACUCUGGGAGGCUGAGGCAGGAGGUCCACAGGUCCAAGCCCAGGCUGGACAACUUAGCAACUCAUUGAGACCCUGUCUCAAAAUAAAAUAGAAUUGGGGAUGUAGCUCAGAGAAAAAGCCCUGGGUUUAAUACCCAGUAUGUAACUCUCUCUCUCUCUCUCUCUCUCUCUCUCUCUGGAAAAGAAAUCUGACUUCAUGUAUACUUAUCUAAUACUUCAGAGCUUUGAUUCUAUUAUGAUGCAGACCUAAAGAUCAGUGGAUUCAAAAACAAGAACAACUGCAUUUACAAUUUUGUUUUUCUUCCCUCCUCACAGCUAACUCCACAGUUACUGAGUUUCCACUUUGUAAUUCUUUGCUCAUCAAAGAUCAUUCUUGGCUCAUCAAGGACAUUUGAUUCACUCUCACUCAUUACUAAUUUAAUUGACAAUGAUGCUGUUAUAAAUAUCAAAUUAUUCUUCAUGGAAUUAUCUGCUUUCCAAUGACUAAAUGUCACCAUUAAGUUUUAAAUCCACUUCCUUUAUAAAAAUGCCUUUAUGGAAUGAGUCACUUUUCUUUCAGUGUCUCUCAGAACUCUUAUCAGUCAUGAUUUUUAAAAAUAGUAUCAGUACAGAUCUUUUAAGUGUAAAAUUAUUUUAUUGGGUGUUUGAGUCUGAUCCAUCAUGCCCUUGAUCAGGGCUGUUAUUGCUGGUCCUGAGGCUUUAUUUACAAAGUAGUCAAUGAGGGAUUAAAUUUAAUUUAGAGCCAGUUUCUAAUCACUGAUUAUCAUAGUAAUAUAUUUUCUGCUAUGUGCAGUACUUCUAUAUAUUUCCAGAAUGCCAUAGUUUUGCUAUCUACUUUGUAGAAUUUACAACUCUUUUGGUUAUCCGAGGAGUAUUUUUUUAAGCUUUAAAUCAAGAUUAAAUCAGGGCCAGGCAUGGUGGCACAUGCCUGUAAUCCCAGCACUUGGGAGGCUGAGACAGAAAGAUCACUGAGAGUUCGAGGCCAGCCUGGGCUACAUAGUGAGUUCAAGGCCAGCCUGAACUGCAUAGUGAGACCCUGUCUCAAAAAAACAAAUAAUCAUAAUAAUAAGGGCAGGGGAUUUAGCUCAGUGGUUCUGCCUCCUGCCUCGCAAGCAGAAGGACCCAAGUUCGAUCCCCAGUACCAAAAAGAAAAAAUAAUAAUAAAUAAAAAUUACAACAUUCAAAAAGGCAACUCAGUACUGGUUUGUUGAAGAAUUUAGGCUGGCUUAAACAACACAGUGAGAUCCUGUCUCAAAAUAAAAGAUCAAAUCACUUGCCAAGCAUGGUGACUCAAUGCAUGUAAUCCCAGCACUCAUGAAGCUGAGACAGGAGGAUUGCCAUGAAUUCGAGGCUCAACAAACAAAAAUCAAAUCACUUACAUUUAAAAAAAAUACAUUUAUUUUUAAACAAAUAUGUACAUUAUGCCCUCUGGAAAGAGAAGGAAUCACUCAACUAAAUUCAAGGAGAUGUGGCAAUUUCUUUGUCUGCUUUUUUAAUGUUGCUUGCAUAGCUUACUUUAAAAAAAAAAAAAAAAGAGGAAAAGGAAAUAUCCAGAAAGGAGCAUUGAGGGAAGAAAGAAAUUCCUGUGAUGUCAAGCUCAUAUUCACGAAUUCUAACAAUCUAACUCAGUGCAUGUGCUGUCUGGUUCAAGUAGCUACAGGUCCCAGAGGAGUAGUAAGUGUACCUGUCACCUCUGGAGAACCCUUGCUACAUGUCACCCACUUCUUCUUCCUGUCCCUACCACUCAAUAAGUGACUUCUGUUUCACAUUAUCUGGAGUGUCUGGGGCCAACUUACAUAAAACAUCGUGGUUCGUAAUGAGAAACAUUUCAAACAUUUUGCCUUCCUAGUUAGCUUCCAGUGAGCAGCCAUGUCUGAAGAGCUGCUAUUUAAAGAGCUCUGUUUUCUUUACAGCCAGUUCUUAACCCUGGGACUAAAGCAUGUUUGGUUAAGGAUACUAAAUUGAGGGCUGGGGAUGUAGCUCAGUGGUUCUGCCACCUGCCUCACAAGUGCAAGGUCCUGAGUUCGAUCCCCAGUACCAAAAAAAAAAAAAUGCAAGAAUACUAAGUUGAGACAGGCUCCUUCAUUUACAAAAAAAGAAAAAAAGAGAGAGUGCAGAACAAGUUCUGCAAUGUUUUUUUAAUAAUUCAAACUGAAAGCAAAUGAAUGUUUCAUUUCUUUAGCCAACCAUGUGUUUCAUUUUAUUUAUUUUUCAAGUUAAUGCCAAGAAAAGUCAGUUCUUUACACAAACUGUUUGGAUGGAGUUCUUAGGAGUAAAGGAAAAUGGAUUAAAUAUUUGUUUUAAGGACAAUGAUAUUAUAGACUCAAGAAGAACAGAGGGCAGAGGAGAAUGGCAAAAUUUAAUCACUCAAACUUGAGGGAAGUAGCCUUGGUUUGAGAUAUUUGUACAGAGAGCUUUAGUAACAUUUACCUUUUAUACUUUCCUUCCCUGCCAACCCCUCAUCCCUCCCAUACCAGCAAUUGAACUCAGAACCUUGAGCUUGCCAGGCAGGCGAGGCACCACUGGGCUAAAUCCUCGACCUGAUACUUUCCUUCUUUGAAACCUGGUACUCUCAAAUCCAACUACUGUGUGUUGGGGGUGCUGGUGUUCAAACUCAGGCCCUCAAGUACACUAAGCAGGUGCUCUACCACUAAGCCAUGCCAGCCUCCAUUUAUUUUUGUCCUCAGCCUUGCACAACUAGGUAUUAAUGUCCCUCUGUAACCUUCCCUCCACUUUCUGGAAUACAUGGCUUCCUAGCUCUUCUGUUGUCUCCUCAUUUUAACCUCUUUUGCUCUUUCUUGCCCUUUGUCCUGAAGAGUACUGUUUAUUUGCUAAGCAGUGUUUACAGGGUGUCUCCAACGUCCCAAGCACACACAUUUGGGGUGGGGGGAGCACAGUACCAGGAACUAAAUCUGACCUACAUCUCCAGUGCUUUUUUAUUUUUUAUUUUGAGUCAAGGUUUUGCUAAGUUCCCCAUUGUUUGAUUUUGAGAUUCUCCUGCCUCAGCCUCCCAGAGCGUCAAGAUUACAGGCAUGCGCCACCACACCCAGCUCCAAGCACACUUCUUAGGACAGUCUCAGGCCUUUCUUUUCAUCUGCCCACUGUGGGCAGCCACUGUACUUACUGUCCGGUCCUGUUAGUUCUUAAUUCCUCUUGUCCUAUCCAGUCCCUCCUCAAAGGAUAAAGCAAGGAAUUCAUAACCAAUGAGAACAAACAAGAAAACCAGCCAAAGAAAAUGCUGUGUUUCUUUUCCCUUUCUUGCGUUUAGGAGGAAACUCAUGAUAUAUCUCCACAUCUGUGUUAUCUCACUUGGUUUAUAGAGUUUGUGAGAGAAAGAGAUUUGAUUUGUGGCUCUGCUUGUAUUGUCUGGGUGAUCUUGGACAAGUUACUUAACCAGAUGCCUUAACCAGAAAUCCUUUCUGGAGCGAGGCAGUAGUGUAAAUAAAUAAAGGACCUUGCCCAGGCUUCAUUUCCUAAUUAUAGAGGAAACAUAGCAUAAAGAUUGAAAGCACAGGCUCUAGACUUAAACAUACUUGGGUAAGAGUCCUGGACUUUCCACUGACUUGAUAUGUGGCCUCAGUUUCCUCAUUUGUGAAACAGAACCAUUAAUAUCAACUUCGUAAGAUUUGAAUGCGAUAAUGUAUAGAAUGAAAGCAUGCACAUGCUCGUGCAUGUGUGUGUGUGUGUGUGUGUGUGUUUUACUGGGGAUUGAACUCAGGUUUUCCUAUUUGUUCACAAUGAGCUACAUCCCCAGCCCUUUUUUCAUUUUGAGACAGGAUCUUCCUAAAUUGCUAAGUUGCCCAAGCUGGGCUUGAACUUGUGAUCCUCCUGCUGCAGCUUCCCAAAGUGCUGAGGUUACAGGCGUAUGCCACUACAGCACACUUAUUAUUAUUGCUGCAUAACAAAUUACUCUAAAACUUGGGGUUAUGACAUAACAACUAUUUUAUUUGCUUGUGAUUUCAUGUGCCAGGAAAUUGGAAAGUGCUCUGAUGGAUAGUGUUCUCUUGGGAUUUCUCAGGUGCCUGCAAUCAGACCUUGGCCGGGCUGCCGCUGCGUGAAGCUGUGGUGGGCUCACUCACAACAGGUGACUGGGAGCCCGAAGGUGACCCCCAGUUGUCACACACCUCUCAUGUGGUGCUGACUUUCCGCAGCGGAAGUGCCCAAGAGAAUGAGAGGGAAGCUGCAGAAGCCCCACACCAUCACUUCCCGUGGUCCAUGGGGACAGCAGUCACAGGUUAUCACUGUGUAGCCCAGGAUGACAUCGAACUCCCAGCGAUCCUCCUGCCCCAGCCCCCAGUGCUGGGAUUACAGCAACCCCAAAGGGAAACGAGAUGGAACAAUCUGAUACUCAGCCACCUGGACUCUCUGAACUGGCAACAAAAGAGGAUCUGGGAAAAAUGAAAUCAGAAAUAAUUACUCAGAUAACAGCAAAGAAUUUGCUCAUGGUGCAAGACAUGAUUAAUAAAUCUAGAGAGAACACAGAUAAAAAAACAGAGGAUCUGAGGAAUAUGAUGGAAUCCCAACACAGGAAACAAAUGGAAUCCAUAAAACAGAUACAAACAGAUUUCCAAGAGACUAAAAACUCCAUCGAAAGUCUGCGCAGCAGAAUGAACCAAUGUGAAGAUAGAAUUUCAGAUAUAGAAGAUAAGAUUGCAAUUAGUGAGGAGGAAAAGAAAAAUUGCUUUAAAAUUGUAAGGGAACAUGAGAAAUCAAUCCAGCAGCUGCUAGACGAUGCAAAGAAGAAUAACAUAAGACUGAUUGGAGUCAAUGAAGAAAGAAGAGAGAGUGUAGAUGACAUAAAAAAACUUUUCACAGAAGUGAUGGCAGAAAACUUCCCAAGGAGGGGAAAAGAACUUGACAUACAGAUAAGUGAGGCAUAUAGGACUCCAGCUAGCCUCAAUCAAAAAAAUCUACACAUAGGCAUAUAAUAGUUAGGAUUCCAGAAAUCCAACAGAAGAAUAAAAUUCUACAAGCAGUGAGAGAAAAGAAACAAAUCACAUACAAAGGAAAGCCCAUCAGAAUCACAGCAGACUUCUCAAUGCAAACCCUCAAGGCAAGAAGAGCUUGAAGUGAUGUAUUUCAAGCCCUAAAGGAAAACAGCCUCCAACCCAGAUUGAUGUACCCUGCAAAACUAUCUUUCAAAAUUGAUGGAGAAAUAAGAUACUUUCACGAUAAAGAGCACCUCAGGAACUUCAUGAAUACCAAACCGGCACUCCAAAAAAUUUUAGACAAUACCCUAGGAAAAGACAAUGAGGAUCACAACCCCAGGAAACCCAGCAGAAUGAAUCCAUUGGGCGUGACAAAUUAAACCCAAAGGGGGAGAAUCCAACAAAAAGAAAAAGUCAUGACAAGGCUUUUAAAAUUUUUGACUUCAUCUCCCUAAUGAGUGUAUAAUUCAAUCUUAUUAUUGUACUGAUUAGUAUUUUUCUGAUUCUAGAGUUGCACACCAUUCCUUGUGCUAUACUGGCU